rnacentral:rRNA from 1 species
UACCGGCGGCUCGAGUGGUGGCCACUAUUACUGGGCUUAAAGCGUUCGUAGCUGGUCUGUUAAGUCUCUGGGGAAAUCUACUGGCUUAACCAAUAGGCGUUUCAGGGAUACUGGCAGACUAGGGACCGGGAGAGGUGAGGGGUACUCCAGGGGUAGGAGUGAAAUCCUGUAAUCCUUGGGGGACCACCUGUGGCGAAGGCGCCUCACCAGAACGGCUCCGACAGUGAGGGACGAAAGCUGGGGGAGCAAA